GACAACAUCCGAGUUUUCUGCAGAUGUAGACCUUUAAAUCAAACUGAAAUUUCAAGCGGAUCUGGUUUCGUUGUUGAAUUCGAAUCCUCCCUAGAUAACGAGCUGCAGGUCAUUUGUUAUGAUUCCUCGAAAAAGUAGUUCAAGUUUGACCAUGUCUUUAGACCUGAGGACAACGAAGCCUAUGGUCUGAUUGACGUUGGUGUGAGUGUGCUCGAUAGCAACCAAUUUUGGGUGGGUGCGUUCACUAACUAAGCUUUCAAGGGGAGCCCAUCAAUGGUUUGCCUACUGGGGGAAUACGGAGACUACCAGUGUAUGAUUUGGUUAUCUUUUAUUUUUUUAUUUAAAUUUAUUUAUAUAUAAUGUGUGUAAAUUUAUACUAAACAAUUGUGAUAAGCCAGCAUGCCAUACGACUUUGAAAGCAUUGAUUUUUUGUUUAGUUUGGAUUUUUGCAUUGUGAAUGUUGAAUUUUGUGUUUAAUUUUAUUUUUGAUGUUCAGCUGUGUGGCAAUGGAUACAUUCUUCAACAGGAGCGUGUUAUUCUGGUUUGGUACUUUGCUAAGGAAGCGAGUUGCUCUAUGUUAAGGGAGGAUGGAGAAGCAAGAAACUACAAUUGAAAAAGCCAUGCGUAAUAAGCGGAAAUGUAUCACCACUGUGAAAGGGCUGCACCUUUUUGGACCAAACAGAAGUAUCCGUGCAUCAUAGGUUUAUGGGUUAGGCACUUGUAUGGUAAUGCCUCUGUUCUAUACCUCCUCCUCUUGACUUUUUUUUCUUUUUCUUCUUCUCUUUGUGCAACUUCCAAAUAUGGUGGAAUCGGUGGAGCUUCCCACUCGCCUAGACAUCUUUCCUUUCUGAAACAAGGCCCUUCUACCCUGCGCCAUCUUCAAAUUCACUGCACUUCACCCGAUAGGUAGUGUCAAGUUGGUGGCGCAUGAGUUAUGGCAGCGGGAAGAGAAGGGGUUAAUUGGUAUUCUUCCCGUUCAAGAUGCUGCCGAGUCAGCAACAGUGGGCUCUGUUGUCUCAAGGUGAGAUGCCUAUGAUUAAGUGAAAGUGAAUACUAACAGGUUUUUUGUUAUUGUUGGGAAUUUGCCUAAUUUUAGGAAUGGGAAGUGAUUCUGGUGAACGAAGCUCUAGAUUUCAAGUUUUUACUCAUCUCUCAUUUUUUUUAAUUUUUUUAUAGUUAGGUUGAAAAUCAUAUCGAUAGAUUCUAUAUUUAGUUGGUCCAAUCUGUAACAGAUGAGAUUGUUUUGUUUGAUGUUUCAAUCAAAAUUUGAUCUUUUUUUGUGUGUGCAAUUAUAAUGGAAUUGCAAGUCAAGUAUAUCUUACAUUCUUGAUUGCAUACUCAUCUUCCC